rnacentral:rRNA from 1 species
GUGGGGAAUAUUGGACAAUGGGCGCAAGCCUGAUCCAGCAAUGCCGCGUGCAGGAAGAAGGCCUUCGGGUUGUAAACUGCUUUUGUACGGAACGAAACGGUCCUGGUUAAUACCUGGGGCUAAUGACGGUACCGUAAGAAUAAGCACCGGCUAACUACGUGCCAGCAGCCGCGGUAAUACGUAGGGUGCGAGCGUUAAUCGGAAUUACUGGGCGUAAAGCGUGCGCAGGCGGUGCUGUAAGACAGGCGUGAAAUCCCCGGGCUCAACCUGGGAAUUGCGCUUGUGACUGCAGUGCUGGAGUACGGCAGAGGGGGAUGGAAUUCCGCGUGUAGCAGUGAAAUGCGUAGAUAUGCGGAGGAACACCGAUGGCGAAGGCAGUCCCCUGGGCCUGUACUGACGCUCAUGCACGAAAGCGUGGGGAGCAAACAGGAUUAGAUACCCGGGUAGUCC